rnacentral:rRNA from 1 species
GCAUAUCAAUAAGCGGAGGAAAAAGAAACCAACAGGGAUUGCCCCCAGUAACGGCGAAGUGAAGCGGCAACAGCUCAAAUUUGAAAUCUGGCCCCCCGGGCCCGAGUUGUAAUUUGCAGAGGAUGCUUCUGGCGCGGCGCCUUCCGAGUUCCCUGGAACGGGACGCCAUAGAGGGUGAGAGCCCCGUACGGUCGGACGCCAAGCCUGUGUGAAGCUCCCUCGACGAGUCGAGUAGUUUGGGAAUGCUGCUCUAAACGGGAGGUAUAUGUCUUCCAAAGCUAAAUACCGGCCAGAGACCGAUAGCGCACAAGUAGAGUGAUCGAAAGAUGAAAAGCACUUUGAAAAGAGGGUUAAACAGUACGUGAAAUUGUUGAAAGGGAAGCGCUCGCGACCAGACUUGGUCCCGGCGGAUCACCCGGCGUUCCUCGCCGGGGCACUCCGCCGGCCCAGGCCAGCAUCGGCUCGCGCCGGGGGAUAAAGGCGGCGGGAACGUGGCUCUCUCCGGGGAGUGUUAUAGCCCGCCGCGUAAUACCCUGGCCGCGGGCCGAGGACCGCGCAUUCGUGCAAGGAUGCUGGCGUAAUGGUCCCCAGCGACCCGUCUUGAAACACGGACCAAGGAGUCGUCCUCGUAUGCGAGUGUUCGGGUGGCAAACCCCUACGCGUAAUGAAAGUGAACGCAGGUGAGAGCUUCGGCGCAUCAUCGACCGAUCCUGAUGUUCUCGGAUGGAUUUGAGUAGGAGCAUACGGGGCCGGACCCGAAAGAAGGUGAACUAUGCCUGUAUAGGGUGAAGCCAGAGGAAACUCUGGUGGAGGCUCGCAGCGGUUCUGACGUGCAAAUCGAUCGUCAAAUAUGGGCAUGGGGGCGAAAGACUAAUCGAACCUUCUAGUAGCUGGUUUCCGCCGA